AAACUCAGAUUAACAUCUGAGUAAGUUCUACUAGCCAAAUUGAAAAUUUGGAGUAUCACUUAAGUUGACGAGGAUAUAGGAGUAUCGAAAUUUCGGCGGAUAUCCUAUGGGAUCUCACAGCCCUAAAAGCUAUAAUAAAAGUUAGAAGUGAUUCUGAUUACAAAAAAGCUUUAGUGAGGAC
rnacentral:ncRNA from 1 species